CGGCGGGAGUAACUAUGACUC
rnacentral:ncRNA from 3 species